rnacentral:rRNA from 1 species
UGGGGAAUUUUGGACAAUGGGCGCAAGCCUGAUCCAGCCAUGCCGCGUGCAGGAUGAAGGCCUUCGGGUUGUAAACUGCUUUUGUACGGAACGAAAAGGCUCUGGUUAAUACCUGGGGCUCAUGACGGUACCGUAAGAAUAAGCACCGGCUAACUACGUGCCAGCAGCCGCGGUAAUACGUAGGGUGCAAGCGUUAAUCGGAAUUACUGGGCGUAAAGCGUGCGCAGGCGGUUUUGUAAGUCUGAUGUGAAAUCCCCGGGCUCAACCUGGGAAUUGCAUUGGAGACUGCAAGGCUAGAAUCUGGCAGAGGGGGAUGGAAUUCCGCGUGUAGCAGUGAAAUGCGUAGAUAUGCGGAGGAACACCGAUGGCGAAGGCAAUCCCCUGGGCCUGUACUGACGCUCAUGCACGAAAGCGUGGGGAGCAAACA